ACCAGGCCAGGCAGCCCACCAGGUUGGCCAGCAGCGUCCCUGCGUGAACUGAAACAGGAGAGGAGGAUGAAGGAGCGUUUACUGAAACUGCCUUCUUUUAGUGUUGCAGUUUGGCCUACAUCCAGGAGAGGGCACCGCUGGUCAUUCUUAAGUGGAGCCAGUGGAUACAGGAAUAAAGAUGGCGGAGUCGUAGCAUAAUGGGUUUGGAUGUAGACUAGAACAACCUUUAAGGAAUCAUCUGACCCACUCCUUUCAUCGGACCACAUGAUCACACAACACGUGUUUGUCAUGUGGCGACUGAAUUCCACACCAAGUCCUUCAUCUUCCAGUUUACACUCAGACACCAGCUGCAAGAUUCAGGGGUGAGGAGAGUCGCUUGGACUAAACAACCGAGACCCUGUUUAACUUAAAUAACCCUCCAGUGAAGGCAAUAACAACAAUAUGGUGCCUUGCAAAAAGUAUUCAUACCCCUGGACUUCUUUUGUUCUCGUUUCUUUCAUCUUACAAGCACAGUCUUGCAUGUAUUUUAUUGGAGCAGUUUGUAUGGGGGACUAUUAGUGACAGGCUUAGAAGAAAAAAACUGCUAGAGGAUUGUUUCUGAAAAUCAAUUUUUAAAUCUUGUCACCAAUUUGACUUAGGUCUAUUUCAGUUAUCAAUUAAUCUAUCGAUUAUUCAGACGAUUAAUUAAAUAAUUAAAAACUUGGCAGAUUCUGCAUAUUCUUAAAGUUUUUUUAAUACAACAUUAUUAAUACAUGUGAAUCUGAACAGGAGGAAGCAAAAACUAAGUCACUGGAGAAGUUUUGGGUAGCAUAUGUUUACAGGCAAAGGUUUUUUCAUCAUCAUAAAUAUUUUUGUACAGUUUAUGCUUAAACUGCUCUGAGUGUUUUGUCCUUCCAGCAAUUUGCCCUUUUUUAGAGUCUCCAAUACUCCAGUUAACAAUUAAUCGAUUACUAAAUAAGCUGACGAUUAUUUCAAUAACCAAUUCAUCACGACUAAUCUGAUUGAUCAUUUCAGCCCUAGAUGUGUAAAAGGAGGUGUUAAAGAUUUGUGAAUCCUAAAAGGGGAGAAG